GCCAUCGUAGCUCAGUCGGUAGAGCGCGUCCUUGGUAAGGACGAGGUCACCGGUUCAAUCCCGGUCGAUGGCC
rnacentral:tRNA from 1 species